rnacentral:misc_RNA from 1 species
CAAAUCCAUCCACGUCUCAUAUUCUGAGACCACGUUGAAAUGUUCCCCGGAGCCGCUGUCUCCUCGGUGCGCGCCAGCUUGUCUGGCCGUCCCUGGAGUCAUGUUCUGGGCUGUUAAACUAGUCAUCUCUGUUGCUCAAAUGUAUCUUGAUUUCAAUCAAACGAAAACUUGUA